GAUCAUGGCUCAGGAUGAACGCUAGCUACAGGCUUAACACAUGCAAGUCGAGGGGCAGCAUAUUUCUAGCAAUAGAGAUGAUGGCGACCGGCGCACGGGUGAGUAACGCGUAUCCAACCUGCCCACCACUUGGGGAUAACCUUGCGAAAGUAAGACUAAUACCCAAUGACAUCCCACGAAGACAUCUGAAUGGGAUUAAAGAUUUAUCGGUGAUGGAUGGGGAUGCGU
rnacentral:rRNA from 1 species